CAAAAGACAAAUUCUGAAUUUUCGUGUCCAACUUUGACUGUCCGUCUUAUAUAAUUUUUUUAUAAUUUGUAUUUUUAUUGUUGUUAGAUGAUAAAACAUGAUUAAUAUUUUAUGCGUGACUUGUCUUUUUAAUUUUUUUUAUAAUUUUUUCAAAUAAGACGGACGGUCAAACGUUGGACACGGAAACUAGGGUUUAUC
rnacentral:pre_miRNA from 1 species